rnacentral:lncRNA from 1 species
CGGUUUUAAGUGAUUCUCCUGCCUCAGCCUCCCUAGUACCUGGGAUUAGAGGGCACAUGCCACCAUGCCCAGCUAAUUUUAAUAUUUUUAGUAGAGAUGGGAGUUUCACCAUGUUGGCCAGGGUGGUCUCGAACUCCUGACCUCAAGUGAUCCACCCACCUCAGCCUCUCAAAGUGCUGGGUUACAGGUGUAAGCCACCACACCCAGCCAGAGGCCUAGGUUUCUUAUUAGAAGAUAGACUGUGAUACUGAAAGCAAAUAAAAUGGUACAUGUUACCUGGCUGCAUUUCAAACAGGUGAUGGUGACACUGCACUGAAGCACCAAAGGUGAUUCUUGUUGGCCAGGCCAGAGCUCCUUGUGAAAAAGGUUAGGCCCACUGGUAUGUCUGAAGCGUCCUAGCUGGAUGGACAGAACCCCAUGAGCUGUUUUGAUUAGACUCUGAAUUUAAAACACCUUGGUGCCCAGUAAUGAGGACAUUUUCACAUUUAGCAUAACGUGAUUUGGUGUGUGGCUUGGAUUUGACAAAUCUUCACUGAGCUAAUGGCUGAUUGGAUUUACUUGGCCUGAAUGGAAAAUAAAAAUCACCUCUGAGCACUUUGGUGGUCUUUUUUAUACAUAUAGAUAUGAUAUCGGUGGCUAGAUAAACAUAUACACAGAAAGGCCAGGCACGGUGGGGUCCAUGGAUUGGCUUCAUUCACAGCUAAUGCUGACCCUACUUGCCCUAGAUCACUUAUAGCAGCACUCAACUAGACAAAGUGCCACAGCACACAGUUCCUUAAACCUAUACUCUUCUCACAACAUAAAUGCUUUCAGUCCAAAAUAAAAACCACCAAUCACUAUCCUAAAACAUGGCACACUCUGC